CACGUAUUUAGCCGGAGCUUCUUAGUCAGGUACCGUCAUUUUCUUUCCUGCUGAUAGAGCUUUACAUACCGAAAUACUUCUUCGCUCACGCGGCGUCGCUGCAUCAGGGUUUCCCCCAUUGUGCAAUAUUCCCCACUGCUGCCUCCCGUGGGAGUCUGGGCCGUGUCUCAGUCCCAAUGUGGCCGUCCACCCUCUCAGGCCGGCUACUGAUCGUUGCCUUGGUGGGCCGUUACCCCGCAACCAGCUAAUCAGACGCGGGCCCAUCCCGCACCACCGGAGUUUUUCACACCGCUUCAUGCGAAGCUGUGCGCUUAUGCGGUAUUAGCAGCCGUUUCCAGCUGUUGUCCCCCAGUGCGGGGCAGGUUGCCCAGCGUUACUCACCCGUCCGCCACUCAGUCGCAAGCCUCUCCUUCCGAAGGAUUCAAAGCAGGCGCUUCGUCGACUUGCAUGUGUUAAGCACGCCGCCAGCGUUCAUCCUGACGCCAGGACUCUAAA
rnacentral:rRNA from 1 species